CUCGUAGGCGGCCGACUAAGUCAGACGUGAAAUCCCUCGGCUUAACCGGGGAACUGCGUCUGAUACUGGCCGGCUUGAAUCCGGGAGAGGGAUGCGGAAUUCCAGGUGUAGCGGUGAAAUGCGUAGAUAUCUGGAGGAACACCGGUGGCGAAGGCGGCAUCCUGGACCGGCAUUGACGCUGAGGAGCGAAAGCCAGGGGAGCAAACGG
rnacentral:rRNA from 1 species